UCUGGGCGAACAAGUUUUGGUUGGGCGGCAUUAAAAUCCUAGAGUCCUAACUUGUAUGGACUCUAACUCCUAUCCAAACUAGUAUUCUAUCCAAUGCCUAUAAAUAACCCAUCCCUUGGACGGUUUUAUGUGGAUAACCAGUAGGUUUAGACUUAAUGUGGGAACAAAGGAGAAAAAUUGGGACGGCAUGAAGGUUGGAGGCGUGAGGUGAGUUUGUUAUAAUCUCUUCUUUCUUGCAACAACCAAAGGGUUGGUUGUUAGGACAUCUAUUCUCCACCUCUUGUCCAUGUUUAGACAUAGAUAUCUCCUUCUUCUUGUCCAUGUUUAGACAUAGAUGUCUCCUCCUUCUUUUAUCCAAAAGUUGGAUAAAAAUUAUUGCAUCUCUUUUAUAGAGAUUUGGUGCAUGAAUUUUAGAAAGAAAAGAGAAGAAAGGGUUCUUCUCAUGAUCUCUAGCGUAGAGAUCAAGAUCCUCCUACAUUUUCUUGUUCUCUAAAAGUAUCUUAGGAGAAAAGAAGAUUUUCAACCAUCAAGAUGCGAUCUCUGUAAGGGAGCUAGCACUCCGAUGAGAUCAAAAGGCUUUUGAUCAAAUCAGAGUCUCGUGUGAAUAUCCGUAGAGGCCGAAUACUUGUGCAGCUAAAAGGGACCUUCGAAAGACAUCCAUGAUCAUCUGUUCGCGUUGAAGAUUGAUCCAUGUCUAGUUGACAAAGAAGACAUGCUGUAGAACCAUGGAAGAACUAAAACAGACAGAAAUGAAAGCGGGAGGGUAACUGGUGGUCCUAAAUAACGCAGACUGCAGCAACUUGGCCAACGAAGGUAUGAGGCCAAAGUAGAGACCAGUUGAGAGGAGAAGAAACUUUCAUCCAAAGGGAGAAAAACAAGUCCUUUGAAUUCCCGCAUUCCAAAGGAUGAUCCUCAUCUGAAUACAAACUCUGCCAUGUUCAAUCCCCUGAAUUCAAACACUGGAUAGCGCAGUAGCCAAACUCUUCAUUUUGUGCCACACUGUCAUGUUCAAUUAGCAGUUUGUUACUACAAAGCAUCGACCAGUCGUUGAACAGAUUGAGACCAUCUGAGGCUAUUGAAGUAAAAGAUUUCUGCUUGUUCCAAAAAAAAAAGUUGUAAAUUCCUCUCUUUCCACAUGGCCCAAUUCAUGGCAGCGACAAGCAUUAGCAUUAUGCAGGAAGCAAGCUUUGGAAAUUUUCUUUUGCUCCAGCCUAGACAUAGCUCUUCAAGUGAUUUGAAAGACAGCAAACUUCCCAUAAGCAGUCACAAUGAUUUCCAGAUAGAACCAGAGGACGGGCAAUCAACAAAAAUAUGAUCUAGAGAUUCAAUUGCAUGCUGGCAAAACACAGAGUCCCCCAAGUUUUUCUAAAGCUUUCUAUCAAUUACAUCUCUAGUAUUCAGCUUAUCCUUUCCAACACAGCCAUAUAAAGCAUUUAAUUUUAAGGCGCACGCAAGGACCCCAGAGGGUAUUUGCAAAUCUGCAUUUAAUUCCAUUUGUUGAUGAAAAUAUAGAGAGAAGCCGGAGAAAAUUUACCAUUGUUGUUGCCUUUCCAAAUGACCCUGUCGUCUUCAGAAUUGAGAUGGACUGAGGCAAGCAGUGAGGAAAGGUUCUGAAACUGCAUCCGGAUCUCCCCGUUAGUCUGACAAGGAGCUCUAGUUUUCCAAGAGAAAUUUCUAGCAUCAAAGAAGUCAGCAACCGACCCAUUCUUCUUGGGCCUCAAAAAGUAAAGCGAUGGAAAAACAUGUUGGAGUGGUGCAUCACGUCACAAUAUCAACAUUUACGAAAUGCACCAUCCGCCAAAGACAUUGGUACAUGAGGAUGUUGGAGUACUUGUUCUGUAUCUCUUGAAUUGCUUCUUUUCUUGCCACUUGUUUUCCCUUUCUCGUGCAGUACUUGAGCUUGAUGAAUUAAAAAGGUUUUCUCUUUCUAGUCAA